CCAGAGGUGGCAGGCGGGAGCUCAUCGAUGAAUCUGCCAGUGUCAGUCCCAGAGCGGACCCCAGAGGUGUUCAGGCGUGGACUCGCACUAUCUGACAUUUCCAUCGAUGGCCUGCAUGAGGAAUGAACGGUCAGAUAGGAAGAUGAGGGAAGGAGCCCUAAGGCUGUUUCAACUAUCAAUCCCAGAACUUCCCAGAUCAGGCCGGAAGCCAGCAAUGAAAAAGAACACUGCCUGGGCCAGGCGCGGUG